rnacentral:rRNA from 1 species
AACGAACGCUGGCGGCAUGCCUAACACAUGCAACUCGAACGAGACCUUCGGGUCUAGUGGCGCACGGGUGCGUAACGCGUGGGAACCUGCCCUUAGGUUCGGAAUAACUCCCCGAAAGGGGUGCUAAUACCGGAUAAUGUCUUCGGACCAAAGAUUUAUCGCCUUUGGAUGGGCCCGCGUUGGAUUAGCUAGUUGGUAGGGUAAAAGCCUACCAAGGCGACGAUCCAUAGCUGGUCUGAGAGGAUGAUCAGCCACACUGGGACUGAGACACGGCCCAGACUCCUACGGGAGGCAGCAGUGGGGAAUAUUGGACAAUGGGCGAAAGCCUGAUCCAGCAAUGCCGCGUGAGUGAUGAAGGCCUUAGGGUUGUAAAGCUCUUUUACCCGGGAUGAUAAUGACAGUACCGGGAGAAUAAGCGCCGGCUAACUCCGUG